rnacentral:lncRNA from 10 species
CAGGAGGCCUCCCUUCACUGAGAAGAAACCGAGACACACAGAGGUCUGCCUUCUAAAAUGAUCUGCACCCGCCCGUCCUAUGGCAUGCAGUCUUCGUACAGGGUCCCGACGUGUGAGAAAGCACAGCCACUAGGAAGUGUGUUCACGGUUUUGUGGGGGCUGACAGGUCUGGAGGCCUGGGCUGGGAGCUGGCAACACUGUUCAGGAUCACUUUUCUGAUUCUCACCAUCCUCUAUCCUGAUGGCCUCCUCUACCCCACGCCCACUUCUCCCACAAUAUAACUGAGGCUGACAGCAUGUCAAUGUCAUGUCCUUUCUUCUAACCUUAGUCUAGAUCCGUGAUUCUCAACUGGGGUGAUUUUUCCCCUGGGUCACUUGGCAAUGUCUGGAGACAUUUUCUGUUGACACAGCUUGGGGAGGGGGGUGCUACUGAUGUCUGAUGGGGAGAGGCCAGGGACACACCCGACACACCACAAGGCACAGGAAGCCCUCACAGCAAAGCAGGAUCCAGCCCAAAACGUCCACAGUGCUGGGCUGGAGAAGCCCUGGCUUAGAAGUUAUAUCAAGUUAUUUCUAAUCUCUUACCAAACAGGCCGACCAACCAACUCUCCACAAGGUCUGACGUGGUAAGCUCACGACCCUUCACCGUGGCUGCCAAGGUGCAAUGCCUGACCAGCAGGAGUGCAGUACAUGGAGGACCAACCGAGAACUGCCUGGUGAACAGGUAGCUCUGGGCUUGCCGUCCACAGACAGGAAAUCCAUGAGAGAGGUGCAUGCUGUGACAAACUUGGUCACUGCCACUCGCUGAGCACCUGCACCCCAAGUAGCUGCAUGAGCCGCCUGAACUUUCCCUUGUCUCAUGACGCGACUCUACUGAUGGAAGGUGAUUCUGCUCCUCCUGGCAAUGCCCCUGGAGGGCACCUGCACAUCCCCUACCCCUCCGUCCAUGUUUGUCAUGUGCAUGAGGCCGCAGGAAUUAAAGGAGACCACCAGAGAUGAAUCUGAUGGGCUUCUCGCCUUUCACUCACUUUCUCCUGGCUGGAUGCUAGAAGCCUCUGACAGACGGGACGUUCCACUUGGAUAUUACAGCAGGACGUCUCACUAAACCCAGGAAGAAAACUGACGGGAGAACAUGGCAUGGAAAAACACACCUACCUUUGUGCUGUGUUCUCAACUCCUCUUUUUCCCCAUUUUCCAGAAACCUCCAACCUGAGAGCUCUGAGUGCCCCUGCCACAGUGUGCCUUGCCGAGGUCAGGCCAGGCCGUGCCACACAUGCCCAGGAGGCUUCCUGAAAACCUCUCUAUGCCGAACCAUGUUGCAGCUGGCAGGCACAACCAGGACUUCCCAUGCACACUUAGCCCAAAGACUUACGAGUCAAUCACUUUACGUGUGAGUUCAGUACAGAGUGGCCCAAGCCUGAGUAGAUCAGAAUGUCCAUAUUCAGCACAAAAAGAGGUACAAAAUCAUCCCUUCCUUCCCCUAUCCCUAACCCUACAGAGGCCCAGGGCAGGCAAUGUCUUAAGAGGACUGUGAAUGGCAGCUGUGAAGCUGUAACACAAUGGAAGUGUCAGCUCCACCUUCACUCAGGCCUUUGAAACGUAUCAGAAAAUGAGGUGGUAGAGGAAAAGCCAACAGAUUUAUAAGCUAGAAGCAGUUACACCAGAACUCAAAGAAAAAACAUCCCCCAAGCAUGUUCCCCAAUCCUCCACAUCACUGGCAGGGCGGACGGAUGGAGGAAGGGCUUACUCUUCAUAACAAAACCUCAGGCUGGAUUCGAGAGGACCAAAACGAAGGAUGAUAUAGAGAAAAUGAAGAGAAAGUCCAUUUCAUAUUAUUUACAGUCAAUUCGGAUGGUUGUCAUUCUCUUCCUCCAUUUCUUUAAUGACUUCCCCCAUUGCACCUCAGUGAUGAAAUCCUUUGCCUUUAUUUAAUGUGCUGUCUUUCCAGAGGCACAUUCCCAACUCUGGGAUGGUUGUCAAAUUGGGAGACCUGUAUUUUCCAGGAAUAAUGAAAUGGAAACUCACUGGCUUCUCCAGGGCAUCUACACAUAGGGUUCUUGCCUCUCGCCCACGCUGCCGAGCCCAGGCUGCAGAGAAUGAUGAAGGGCAGCUCCUGUGUCCUCUGCACAGCCUCUGCCCAACUCUGAGUUUAUUGGUUACGUGGCCUUGGCCAAGCCUGCCUAACUCCUAUGUGCCUGUUUCCCCAUGUGCAACAUGGGGCCUGCCUCCCUUAUGGCUGCUGUGAGGAUCCAAGGUCAGCUACACAAAGCAUCUGCUCAGGGCCUGUGCACAGUGCGUGCUACAUGUUAGCGACCGCUGCUGCCGCUACUGUGUGUCUCCCAGCAUCGUCUUCUGUGAGUGAGUAUGGCAAGGGCCCCCAGGGCUAACUGAUCAACAUCAGUCACAUGUGGGGAAAACAGCAGGAGUGACGGCACUGCAAGCUUUACUGUCAAUUUUUAUUUGGGGAAAGUAUUUUGGCAGAGAAGAGGGCUUUCUUGGUUGCAAACACAGACAAGCCCUAAGCA